ACCCGGGAAACUGGGUAUAAUACCCGAUAGGUCUCGAUUGCUGGAAUGCAUCGAGAUUUAAAGCUCCGGCGCCUAAGGAUGGGUCUGCGGCCUAUCAGGUAGUAGUGGGUGUAGCGUACCUACUAGCCUACGACGGGUACGGGUUGUGAGAGCAAGAGCCCGGAGAUGGAUUCUGAGACACGAAUCCAGGCCCUACGGGGUGCAGCAGGCGCGAAAACUUUACAAUGCUGGCAACAGCGAUAAGGGAACCUCGAGUGCCAGGUUACAAAUCUGGCUGUCGAGAUGCCUAAAAAGCAUUUCAUAGCAAGGGCCGGGCAAGACCGGUGCCAGCCGCCGCGGUAACACCGGCGGCUCGAGUGGUAACCGUUAUUAUUGGGUCUAAAGGGUCUGUAGCCGGCCGGAUAAGUCUCUUGAGAAAUCUGGCAGCUUAACUGUCAGGCUUUCAGGAGAUACUGUCUGGCUCGAGGCCGGGAGAGGUGAGAGGUACUUCAGGGGUAGGGGUGAAAUCUUGUAAUCCUUGAAGGACCACCAGUGGCGAAGGCGUCUCACCAGAACGGACCUGACGGCAAGGGACGAAAGCUAGGGGCACGAACCGGAUUAGAUACCCGGGUAGUCCUAGCCGUAAACGAUACUCGCUAGGUGUCGGCCACGGUGCGACCGUUGUCGGUGCCGUAGGGAAGCCGUGAAGCGAGC
rnacentral:rRNA from 1 species